GCGAGUGAAGAAGGGGAGGGGAAGAGAGGUGUAAAUUGGCUAUAAAUACAUAAAAUGUAUGGAGGGGAAAGACUUCCUUAUCAUUCUAGCCUGAACAGCACAGAACCAGAUGAGAACCCUUCCUUCUUAAGUCUCCAAUUUGUUUUUCUUGGGAGAAGGGGAAGAAGUGAAUUAUCAUCUAAAAGAAAAGAAAGGAAAAAAAGUCAGAGCGAUUCACGCCUAGGUCACGCAAACAUAAGCCCUGACACCAAGGAGAGAAAUGCUCUCUGCAGACAAGUUAACCUGACGUCUUGUAACGAUGUGCUCAGAGCUUACCAGAUGAGUAUGGGUGGACUGUUCAGUGGAUGAAGAACUGGCUGCAGGAUUGAAUCCAGAGAGUGAUGCACAAUGGCCCAACAUCUGGAUGGAGGUCAAUGACAAGUAGUGUCCCCCAGGGGUCAGUGCUGGGGCUGAUUCUCUUUAGUGUCUUCAUCAGUGACAUUGACAGUGGGGUCAAGUGCACCCUCAGCAAGUUUGCUGAUGACACCAAGCUGAGUGGUGUUGUUUUCACACUAGAGGGUGUCUAGGUCCAGUGGGAUCUAGACAGGCUUGAGCAGUAGGCCGAGGUGAACCUCAUGAGGUUCAACAAAUCUGAGUACAAGGUCUUGCGUCUGGGUUGAGGAAUCCUUACUACCAAUGCAAGCUGAGAGAUGAAAGGAUUGAGUGCAGCCCUGCCAAAAAAGACCUGGGAGUACUGGUGGAUUGAAAGCUGUACAUGAGCCAGCAAUGUGCUCUCAUAGCCCAGAAAGCCAACAGUAUCUUGGGCUGCAUCAAAAGAAGUGUGGCCAGCAGGGUGAGGGAGGUGAUCCUGCUCCUCUGCUCUGUGCUGGGGUGACCUCACCUGGAGUACUGCGUCCAGAUACAGAGUCCUCAGUACAGGAGAGGCAUGGACCUGUUGGAGCGUGUCCAGAGAAGGGCCACAAAAAUGAUCCAAGGGAUGGAACACCUCUUCUAUGAGGACAGACUGAGAGAUCUGGAGGCUGUUCAGCCUGGAGAAGAGAAGGCUGCAAGAUGACCUGAGAGCAGCCUCUCAGUAUCUCAAGGGGAUACUUGAAAAGUAAGGGGACAGACUCUUUAGGAGAGUCUGUGGUGAUUGAAGAAGGGGAAAUGGCUUCAAGCUUUAAAAGAGUAGAUUUAGGUUCGAUAUAAAGAAAAGGCCUUUUACAGUGAGGGUGGUGAGGCACUGGAACAGGUUGCCUAGAGCUGUGGUUGAUACCCCGUCCCCAGAGACUUUAAAGGUAAGGCUGAAUCAGGUCUAGGGCAACCUGAUCUAGCCGUGGAUGGCCCUGUUCAUUGCAGGGGAGUUGGACUAGAUGACCUUUAAAGGCCCAUUUCAACUCUAAGGAUUCUCUGAUUCUAUGAGUUAGUCUUCUGGGAUCUUCCCCAGCGGUACAAUUGAGAUCACUGAAAUCAUACUGUGAAAUUCUACCACAAAAAUAAAUAAAAUAAAAUAAAAUAAAAUAAAAUAAAAUAAAAUAAAAUAAUGAAAUAAAAUGUUACUUCUUCUUCCAAAAUAAGGCAUUUGAGAGCUCAUAUAUACCACAUUUCCAAAAGCUAAUACUGAUACUGCUUUAAGUAUACCUAUAUUUUGUGUUUCAAUUGCACUCAUUAAAUAUUUAAUAUAUUUAAUUAAUAUAUUUAAUAUUUCUCAGUUAAAUCUAUUUUUCCAAAUUUUGCUUUGUCAUAACUGCAUAGGAAGAAGUUAUAUCAAGAUCAUAUUUGGUCUUACCUACUAUGCUUUCAACUAAAACAGCCUAAGGCUCAAAAGAAAAACAGAAAACUAGAAUAUUCUUAUAACAGACAUUCAAUAUUACAAAACCUGAGAAUAAUCAAUAACUUAUAUUCUCUUCCAUUUUUCACAAUCUCAUAUUAAAAAAAAAAAAAAAAAAAAAAAAGUAAAGCACUUUUCAGAAACUUUGCGAUAAAAUAUGCUCCUUACAAUAAAUAAACAUCACAGGCUGAAAAUGUUCACUCCUCUGCUCAUCAUGAAGAUCAGGACAAGAUAACUUCUGUAAGUAAUACUGUAAUACAAAAUUGAUAGUACUUGAUUUUUACAUAAAAAAGAACAAACAAGAAUUAAAAUAUAAUUUCUGUGUUACAACUAGAAUAGGAUAAAGUCAAUAUAAUUUUAUAACUAAUAACUCAAACUAUAAAAUAUGAGGUUGUCUAUUCUUAAAGAUAUUGUUGUCUAUUCUUAAAGAUAUCCAUUAGACUAUUAAAGCAUAAACAGAGCUACUCACAAGGUACAGUAAAACUUUUUCACAUAAAAUAUGAAAAGUUAUUGAAAUAUCUAAUCUGAGAUCAACUAGAGAACUUCGAACAGAUAGGAGCACAAGAAAAAGCACAAACUUCUGAUGUGAUACUUCUCUGAGAGCAAGUGGAUCAGUAUUGCUGGAACAUGGGAGAUUGGUAGGUUGGUAAGAACCUCAGGUGAUGAAGUCUUAAAGCAGGGCUAGCUGUGAGGUCAGGUCACGCGGAUGUACUUGAGCACCUUGUACUAGAGAAUGGCGUAGAAGAAGUGGGAAAGGAAAGCAGACAGAAAGUCAGAGUUGGUUGUGAAGAAUGGUUGCUACAUAAUGGCUUAAUUUCCUGAAGUAAACAACAGGUUCGCUGGGUUAUGGUGUGGUAGAGACAAGCCCUAACACUAGAUAAAAUAGAAAAUAGGAAUAUUAGAUGAUGAUUAGAUAAUUCUCAUCUAGGAAAAGAGGUUAAAGUGUGAAUUGCAGAGCACUGCAGUAAAGAAAGAAAAUAAAGAUAAAAGAAGGAUAAAAUAAUAAUAGGUGAGAGGAAUUCAAUAAAAUGAUAUGUACUAGUAAAGUUCUCAGUAUCAUUUUCAUAUCUACCAAUCACCACAUUCUCAAAGACGUGUGGAUUUUCCAAGCUCAAGAUAGUGCUUAUCAAAUUGCUUUUCCACCCAGAUAGGUAGGUAGACAUAUAUAAAUUUGAUCUCAGAAAGAGAAGAGAAUGAAGAAACAACAGCUCAUGUUAUGGCUGUAGUCAGAUAUCAUCAACAUCAAUGAAACAUUUGCCAUCCAUUAAAAUUUUAGAGCACUUUAUUCCUGAGAUAAUAAAAACUAUUUUCAUAGUUUCAGCUCAGAUUUAUCUUACAAUUUAAUAAAGUGGGAUUGUAUUAAA